rnacentral:tmRNA from 1 species
GCGCUCGGAGAAGUUCCUGUUAAAGCGUUUUCGGACAGGGGUUCAACUCCCCUCAUCUCCACCA